rnacentral:ncRNA from 1 species
GAACGCCGUAUGCGGUGAAAGCCGCACGUACGGUGUAGACCGGUCGAAAUCCUUGGCUGGAUAGACACGGAAUGGUGGAACAUUGCCAACAACGAAUGCCCAACAGUUCGAAGCGGAUUUGAAAGCUGCGAAGAAUGGGGAUACGGUAU